AUUGAACGCUGGCGGCAGGCCUAACACAUGCAAGUCGAGCGGAUGAAGGGAGCUUGCUCCUGGAUUCAGCGGCGGACGGGUGAGUAAUGCCUAGGAAUCUGCCUGGUAGUGGGGGAUAACGUCCGGAAACGGGCGCUAAUACCGCAUACGUCCUGAGGGAGAAAGUGGGGGAUCUUCGGGCCUCACGCUAUCAGAUGAGCCUAGGUCGGAUUAGCUAGUUGGUGGGGUAAAGGCCUACCAAGGCGACGAUCCGUAACUGGUCUGAGAGGAUGAUCAGUCACACUGGAACUGAGACACGGUCCAGUCUCCUACGGGAGGCAGCAGUGGGGAAUAUUGGACAAUGGGCGAAAGCCUGAUCCAGCCAUGCCGCGUGUGUGAAGAAGGUCUUCGGAUUGUAAAGCACUUUAAGUUGGGAGGAAGGGCAGUAAGUUAAUACCUUGCUGUUUUGACGUUACCAACAGAAUAAGCACCGGCUAACUUCGUG
rnacentral:rRNA from 1 species